CCCUUAGAUGUCCUGGGCCGCACGCGCGCUACACUGACGGAGCCAGCGAGCGUGUCCUUCGCCGAAAGGUGCGGGUAAUCUUGGCAGCCUCCGUCGUGCUGGGGAUAGAUGGUUGCAAUUAUUGAUCUUGAACGAGGAAUUCCUAGUAAGCGCGAGUCACCAGCUCGCGUUGAUUACGUCCCUGCCCUUUGUACACACCGCCCGUCGCUACUACCGAUUGGAUGGCUUAGUGAAAGCUCUGGAUCUCUGCCGGCGCGGUCCUCGCGGGUCGCGUUGGAUGGGGAGAAGUUGUUUAAACUGAGCUCUCUAGAGGAAGUAAAAGUCGUAACA
rnacentral:rRNA from 1 species